GAUGAACGCUGGCGGCGUGCCUAAUACACGCCAGUCGAGCGAACGGACGAGAAGCUUGCUUCUCUGAUGUUAGCGGCGGACGGGUGAGUAACACGUGGAUAACCUACCUAUAAGACUGGGAUAACUUCGGGAAACCGGAGCUAAUACCGGAUGAUAUUUUGAACCGCAUGGUUCAAAAGUGAAAGACGGUCUUGCUGUCACUUAUAGAUGGAUCCGCGCUGCAUUAGCUAGUUGGUAAGGUAACGGCUUACCAAGGCAACGAUGCAUAGCCGACCUGAGAGGGUGAUCGGCCACACUGGAACGGAGACACGGUCCAGACUCCUACGGGAGGCAGCAGUAGGGAAUCUUCCGCAAUGGGCGAAAGCCUGACGGAGCAACGCCGCGUGAGUGAUGAAGGUCUUCGGAUCGUAAAACUCUGUUAUUAGGGAAGAACAUAGGUGUAAGUAACUGUGCACAUCUUGACGGUACCUAAUCAGAAAGCCACGGCUAACUACGUGC
rnacentral:rRNA from 1 species